rnacentral:rRNA from 1 species
AUUGAACGCUGGCGGAAUGCUUUACACAUGCAAGUCGAACGGCAGCACGGACUUCGGUCUGGUGGCGAGUGGCGAACGGGUGAGUAAUGUAUCGGAACGUGCCCAGUCGUGGGGGAUAACGUAGUGAAAAUUACGCUAAUACCGCAUACGAUCCAUGGAUGAAAGCGGGGGAUCGCAAGACCUCGCGCGAUUGGAGCGGCCGAUGUCAGAUUAGGUAGUUGGGGGGGUAAAGGCCCACCAAGCCAACGAUCUGUAGCUGGUCUGAGAGGACGACCAGCCACACUGGAACUGAGACACGGUCCAGACUCCUACGGGAGGCAGCAGUGGGGAAUUUUGGACAAUGGGCGAAAGCCUGAUCCAGCCAUGCCGCGUGCAGGAUGAAGGCCCUCGGGUUGUAAACUGCUUUUGUACAGAACGAAAAGGUUUCUACUAAUACUAGGAGCUCAUGACGGUACUGUAAGAAUAAGCACCGGCUAACUACGUGCCAGCCGCCGCAGUAA